rnacentral:rRNA from 1 species
AGUGAAUGCUGGCGGUAGGCCUAACACAUGCAAGUCGAACGGCAGCACAGGAGAGCUUGCUCUCUGGGUGGCGAGUGGCGGACGGGUGAGGAAUACAUCGGAAUCUACUUUUUCGUGGGGGAUAACGUAGGGAAACUUACGCUAAUACCGCAUACAACCUACGGGUGAAAGCAGGGGAUCUUCGGACCUUGCGCGAUUGAAUGAGCCGAUGGCGGAUUAGCUAGUUGGCGGGGUAAAGGCACACCAAGGCGACGAUCCGUAGCUGGUCUGAGAGGAUGAUCAGCCACACUGGAACUGAGACACGGUCCAGACUCCUACGGGAGGCAGCAGUGGGGAAUAUUGGACAAUGGGCGCAAGCCUGAUCCAGCCAUACCGCGUGGGUGAAGAAGGCCUUCGGGUUGUAAAGCCCUUUUGUUGGGAAAGAAAUCCAGCUGGUUAAUACCCGGUUGGGAUGACGGUACCCAAAGAAUAAGCACCGGCUAACUUCGUGCCAGCCGCCGCCGUAA